rnacentral:rRNA from 1 species
CUAAGAGACUGCCGGUGUCAAACCGGAGGAAGGUGGGGGAUGACGUCAAGUCCUCAUGGCCUUAUGACCAGGGCUACACACGUACUACAAUGGCAGGUACAAAGGGCAGCCACUUAGCGAUAAGGCGCGAAUCCCGUAAAACCUGUCUCAGUCCGGAUUGGAGUCUGCAACUCGACUCCAUGAAGUUGGAAUCGCUAGUAAUCGCAGAUCAGCACGCUGCGGUGAAUACGUUCCCGGGCCUU